GAACCCAGGAUUUUGCACACCUCAGGUGAUCUUUCUGCCAUAGAGCAAAACCUCCAGUCUACAGAGCAGUUUUCAGCAAAGAGAACGUGAAUGGAAAGUUGUCAGCUAACAUCUCAAGGACACUUCAUGACCCAGGCCCUGUGCAAGGUUCUAUAACAGAAUGAAGAAGGUGUGGACACUUACCUGUGGGCUGAGGCUUGGAGGACAUUGUUCAGGUUCCUGCUGAAGCCAGAGUUCUGGAGAUGGACGGCUGGUCAAGGAAAUGAAGGCCCUGGAGAAGAUCUGCCAAAGAAACUUACUUCUAAGGAGGCCCGCGAUCUCAUGAAAGUGAUCAGCAGAUAAAUCAACUUAAGAGAUUCAGAUGCUCUACAGUUUCCAGCAUCCAGAACAGGACCGGCGCUGCUUGCUCCACCUUCACGUUGUUGGCUAACAGUGGACUUAACGGACUUACCAGGGGAAGACUGCUCUUCUGACUGGAGGCUAGGAGGCUGCCUUCCCUUCUCUGACGUCAUUCUGCCAGAAU